AUGAACGCUGGCGGCGUGCCUAAUACAUGCAAGUCGCGCGAACGGACGAGAAGCUUGCUUCUCUGAUGUUAGCGGCGGACGGGUGAGUAACACGUGGAUAACCUACCUAUAAGACUGGGAUAACUUCGGGAAACCGUAGCUAAUACCGGAUAAUAUUUUGAACCGCAUGGUUCAAAAGUGAAAGACGGUCUUGCUGUCACUUAUAGAUGGAUCCGCGCUGCAUUAGCUAGUUGGUAAGGUAACGGCUUACCAAGGCAACGAUGCAUAGCCUACCUGAGAGGGUGAUCGGCCACACUGGAACUGAGACACGGUCCAGACUCCUACGGGAGGCAGCAGUAGGGAAUCUUCCGCAAUGGGCGAAAGCCUGACGGAGCAACGCCGCGUGAGUGAUGAAGGUCUUCGGAUCGUAAAACUCUGUUAUUAGGGAAGAACAUAUGUGUAAGUAACUGUGCACAUCUUGACGGUACCUAAUCAGAAAGCCACGGCUAACUACGUG
rnacentral:rRNA from 1 species